rnacentral:snRNA from 1 species
GUAAGCGGCUUACUUAAACUAAAAUUGAAACAAUAGAUUAGCAUGGUCCUUGUGCAAGAAUGACACGCAAAUUUAUGAAAUGUUCCAUAUUUUC